CUUUACUGUAGCAUAUUAUUGGGUCUAGGUAUUAUAUGUGUAGGAUAGGUGGGAGGCUUCGAAGGCCAGGCGCCAGCUUGGCCCGAGCCGUUGGUGAAAUACCACUCUUAUGAUACUUGGACUCUAACCGGGUGCCAUGAAGCUGGGCCUGGGACAGUGGUAUGUGGGCAGUUUGACUGGGGCGGUCUCCUCCUAAAAGGUAACGGAGGAGUGCAAAGGUACCCUCAGCACGGUUGGCAAUCGUGCGUAGAGCGCAAAGGUAGAAGGGUGCUUGACUGCGAGACAUACAAGUCGAGCAGGUGCGAAAGCAGGCCUUAGUGAUCCGGUGGUCGCGAGUGGAAGCGCCAUCGCUCAACGGAUAAAAGGUA
rnacentral:rRNA from 1 species